rnacentral:misc_RNA from 1 species
AAGGAUGGCUGUAAUUCCUGCUUCAUCUUCUUCACGUUUCAUCUUUGGGAAGCCAUUGUCCAAAACCCUAACCCUAAAUUCCCUUUCCCGCCGUUGUAGUAGUAUUAACUAUCUAAAAAAACCUCCUUUUACACUGCUAAUCAAAGCAUUCUCUUCAACAGCUGAACAGACAGCGCCUUCCACAGAGAGCGUUGAAAAUAGAAGUGGUGACUCAAUUUUCCUCUGUAUUUUCUUUUUCAUUUUCUUCGAGGUCGAAAGGCGUAGUGUGAUUUUAGUUGUUGUUUUUUUGUUGGGGAUUUUAGUGGUGAAGCCACAAUGGAAGGCGGCAAUUGAUUUCAAGUGGAUAAGGGAU